rnacentral:rRNA from 2 species
ACCGGCUAACUACGUGCCAGCAGCCGCGGUAAUACGUAGGGUGCAAGCGUUAUCCGGAAUUAUUGGGCGUAAAGAGCUCGUAGGCGGUUUGUCGCGUCUGCUGUGAAAACUGGAGGCUCAACCUCCAGCCUGCAGUGGGUACGGGCAGACUAGAGUGCGGUAGGGGAGAUUGGAAUUCCUGGUGUAGCGGUGGAAUGCGCAGAUAUCAGGAGGAACACCGAUGGCGAAGGCAGAUCUCUGGGCCGUAACUGACGCUGAGGAGCGAAAGCAUGGGGAGCGAACAGGAUUAGAUACCCUGGUAGUCCAUGCCGUAAACGUUGGGAACUAGAUGUAGGGACCAUUCCACGGUUUCUGUGUCGCAGCUAACGCAUUAAGUUCCCCGCCUGGGGAGUACGGCCGCA